rnacentral:rRNA from 1 species
AUUGAACGCUGGCGGCAGGCCUAACACAUGCAAGUCGAGCGAGCGGCGGACGGGGGAGUAAUGUAUGGGGACUGCCCGAUAGAGGGGGAUAACUCCUGGAAACGGUAGCUAAUACCGCAUACUAUCGGAUAACCCAUAUGGGAUUAGCUAGUAGGUGAGGUAAUGGCUCACCUAGGCGACGAUCCCUAGCUGGUCUGAGAGGAUGAUCAGCCACACUGGGACUGAGACACGGCCCAGACUCCUACGGAGGCAGCAGUGGGGAAUAUUGCACAAUGGGCGAAAGCCUGAUGCAGCCAUGCCGCGUGUAUGAAGAAGGCCUUCGGGUUGUAAAGUACUUUUAGCAGGGAGGCGGUACCGACAGAAGAAGCACCGGCUAACUCCGUGCCAGCAGCCGCGGUAAUUC